AAUCCAUGCAUAGGAUAUUUCUUAAGCAGAUCUUUGAACUUUUCCCAUGCUUCAUACAGUGUUUCAUCCUCUAGUUUCCUAGAGAAUGUUAUGUCAUUUCUUAGUUU
rfam:Gossypium raimondii chromosome 11, whole genome shotgun sequence.